rnacentral:rRNA from 1 species
UCGCUUGUUUUUACAAAAACAUGGCUUAAUGAUUUUAAUGAAUAUUAAGUCAGACCUGCCCAAUGAYUAUAAUYUAAUGGCUGCAGUAAUYUAWCUGUACAMAGGUAGCAUAAUAAUUAKUUUUUUAAUUGAGGACUUGUAUGAAAGGUUUUACGAAAUAUUAACUUUAUUAUMMUAAUCAAUAUAAUUUUAUUUUUUAGUAAAAAAGCUGAAAUUUUUAUAUAAGACGAGAAGACCCUAUAGAUUUUUAUAAUUUACAGUAAUAAAUAUAAUAAGUAUUUAMYUUAUUUAUUUAGUUGAUUUAUUUUAUUGGGGUGAUGGUAAAAUUAGUUUAAUUUUUAUAUAAYUUUUACMUUUAUUUAUGAAUAAUUGAUCCAUUAUUAAUGAUUAUUASAUUUAAUUACCUUAGGGAUAACAGCAUAAUUUGCUUGGAAAGUUCUUAUUGAUAASCGAGAUUAUGACCUCGAUGUUGGAUUAAGAUUUAUUUUAGGGGUAGAAAUUUAAAAAUUAAGUCUGCUCGACUUAUAACAUCUUACAUGAUCUGACCUCCAAACCG